UCAGCUUCCACACAAACCAUGAUCUCCACACCUACACGUCUACUGCUGCUGCUAACAGCUGCAUCCUGUGUUGAAUGUAUUGAGCUGGUUCAGCCUGCUGCCAUGGUUGUUAAACCUGGACAGUCUUUCUCCAUCACUUGUAAGAUUACUGGAUAUACAGCCGUAGGUGGAGGCUACACCAACUGGGUACGACACUCAGCAGGAAAAGCGCCAGAAUGGCUUGGAUGGUUCAAAAGCUCCAGUGAAACUGGGACCAUAGACUCACUUAAGAGCAAGAUCAGCUUCACUGCAGACUCGUCCAGCAACACAGUGCUUUUACAGGGCCAAAGCUUCCAGCCUGAGGACACAGCUGUGUAUUACUGCGCUCGAGAUGCACACUGGUAUAAACUGCCAAGGGACCUGUACAAUAACCCCCUCACACAGGAAACACAAUAG